rnacentral:rRNA from 1 species
UGAUACUAAGCCAUGCGAGUCAUUGUAGUAAUACAAGGCAGACGGCUCAGUAACGCGUAGUCAACCUACCCUAUGGACGGGAAUAACCUCGGGAAACUGAGUAUAAUGCCCGAUAGAACACUAUACCUGGAAUGGUUUGUGUUCCAAAUGAAUGUCGCCGUAGGAUGGGACUGCGGCCUAUCAGUUUGUUGGUGAGGUAAUGGCCCACCAAGACUAUUACAGGUACGGGCUCUGAGAGGAGUAGCCCGGAGAUGGGUACUGAGACACGGACCCAGGCCCUAUGGGGCGCAGCAGGCGAGAAAACUUUGCAAUGUGCGAAAGCACGACAAGGUUAAUCCGAGUGGUUUGUGCUAAACGAACCUUUUGACAGUCCUAGAAACACUGUUGAAUAAGGGGUGGGCAAGUUCUGGUGUCAGCCGCCGCGGUAAAACCAGCACCUCAAGUGGUCAGGAUGAUUAUUGGGCCUAAAGCAUCCGUAGCCGGCUCUGUAAGUUUUCGGUUAAAUCUGUACGCUCAACGUACAGGCUGCCGGGAAUACUGCAGAGCUAGGGAGUGGGAGAGGUAGACGGUACUCGGUAGGAAGGGGUAAAAUCCUUUGAUCUAUUGAUGACCACCUGUGGCGAAGGCGGUCUACCAGAACACGUCCGACGGUGAGGGAUGAAAGCUGGGGGAGCAAACCGGAUUAGAUACCCGGGUAGUCCCAGCUGUAAACUAUGCAAACUCAGUGAUGCAUUGGCUUGUGGCCAAUGCAGUGCUGCAGGGAAGCCGUUAAGUUUGCCGCCUGGGAAGUACGUACGCAAGUAUGAAACUUAAAGGAAUUGGCGGGGGAGCACCACAAGGGGUGAAGCCUGCGGUUCAAUUGG